rnacentral:miRNA from 1 species
GUAUUAGGUCGAGGCAAAAGUAAUUGUGUUUUUUGCCACUAAAAUUGCAAAACUGCAAUUACUUUUGCACCAACCUAAUGUU